CGGCAUAGCUGGGUAGCUAUGUAUGGACGGGAUAAGUGCUGAAAGCAUCUAAGCAUGAAGCCCCCCUCAAGAUGAGAUUUCCCAACUUCGGUUAUAAGAUCCCUCAGAGAUGAUGAGGUCAAUAGGUCUGAGGUGGAAGCACAGCGAUGUGUGGAGCUGACGGAUACUAAUCGAUCGAAGACUUAAUCAAA
rnacentral:rRNA from 1 species